UUUAACUUUCAGCAUCAAGUAUUUUGUUUCAGCAAAGAGAAGUUGAGACAGCUGCCCUUUCCUUCCUCAGAUGUGUGGGAUUCUAUGGUUCUCUGAAAGGCUGUGUUCAUGCAGGGAGCACUGCAGGCCUCGGCAUGGUGGCAUCCUGGUCUCACAUGACACCACGCACAACUUCAAGUUGCUGGGACCCAAAGUUACAAGGAGUGUUCCUCACUGCUGCACUGAUCAAGUUGUCUGGCUAAACUCUGAGGCUUGUUUUAUGCUGUGAAUUUUCCGCAUCACUGGUUCCUUCCUACUCAUUUGCUGGCCCUCAGCCUGGCAAAAAGACAACCGGAAGCGCCUCGCCCCCAUUAUAAAAUGUGGCUGAAACAUUUCAUUGAGUC
rnacentral:lncRNA from 1 species